AAAACAGCCAUCAUUAGUUUAAAAGUUUGGACGUAAACAAAGCGAUUAUAACAUAAAAACAUGAAAGUUGGUUCCUUAUUUAAAAUUUUAAGUCCAUUGAGUAUCUUUAGAUACACCCGUAGGAAUUUUGAUUGUUUUUCCGUUGCUUGUCAAAGUACAAUCUAACUCUACCCAGUGGGCUAUAGGUCCAAAGCGCUGACUUUGGUAGUGAACAGUUCCAGAAGCAAGAGAUCCUGAAACCUCGAAAUUGAUAUCAAUAAACCCUUGACGUUUAUGAAGUUUUCCUGGAACCCAUGGAAAGGGGUAUUUAAAAUCGAUGUUUGAACCCAAUAGAUCUUGAGCUUCUUUUGAAUGCUGCACACGAUACAUAA